rnacentral:rRNA from 1 species
AUUGAACGCUGGCGGCAUGCCUUACACAUGCAGGUCGAACGGCAGCACGGGAGCAAUCCUGGUGGCGAGUGGCGAACGGGUGAGUAAUAUAUCGGAACGUGCCCAGUCAUGGGGGAUAACGUAGCGAAAGCUACGCUAAUACCGCAUACGAUCUAUGGAUGAAAGCGGGGGAUCGCAAGACCUCGCGCGAUUGGAGCGGCCGAUAUCAGAUUAGGUAGUUGGUGAGGUAAAGGCUCACCAAGCCGACGAUCUGUAGCUGGUCUGAGAGGACGACCAGCCACACUGGGACUGAGACACGGCCCAGACUCCUACGGGAGGCAGCAGUGGGGAAUUUUGGACAAUGGGCGCAAGCCUGAUCCAGCAAUGCCGCGUGCAGGAUGAAGGCCUUCGGGUUGUAAACUGCUUUUGUACGGAACGAAACGGCGAGCUCUAAUACAGUUUGCUAAUGACGGUACCGUAAGAAUAAGCACCGGCUAACUACGUGCCAGCCGCCGCGGUAA